rnacentral:rRNA from 1 species
UACGGAAGGCAGCAGUGGGGAAUAUUGGACAAUGGGCGAAAGCCUGAUCCAGCCAUGCCGCAUGAGUGAAGAAGGCCUUCGGGUUGUAAAGCUCUUUUAGUGAGAAAGAUAAUGACGGUACUCACAGAAGAAGUCCUGGCUAACUCCGUGCCAGCAGCCGCGGUAAUACGGAGAGGGCUAGCGUUAUUCGGAAUUAUUGGGCGUAAAGAGCACGUAGGUGGUUUUUUAAAGUCAGAUGUGAAAUCCCUGGGCUUAACCUAGGAACUGCAUUUUGAAACUGAAAUACUAGAGUAUCGUAGAGGGAGGUAGAAUUCUAGGUGUAGCGGUGAAAUGCGUAGAUAUCUGGAGGAAUACCUGUGGCGAAAGCGGCCUCCUAAACGAAUACUGACACUGAGGGUGCGAAAGCGUGGGGAGCAAACAGGGAUUAGAUACC